rnacentral:rRNA from 1 species
GGCGGCGUGCCUAAUACAUGCAAGUCGAGCGAACAGACAAGGAGCUUGCUCCUUUGACGUUAGCGGCGGACGGGUGAGUAACACGUGGGUAACCUACCUAUAAGACUGGGAUAACUUCGGGAAACCGAGCUAAUACCGGAUAAUAUUUCGAACCGCAUGGUUCGAUAGUGAAAGAUGGUUUUGCUAUCACUUAUAGAUGGACCCGCGCCGUAUUAGCUAGUUGGUAAGGUAACGGCUUACCAAGGCGACGAUACUAGCCGACCUGAGAGGGUGAUCGGCCACACUGGAACUGAGACACGGUCCAGACUCCUACGGGAGGCAGCAGUAGGGAAUCUUCCGCAAUGGGCGAAAGCCUGACGGAGCAACGCCGCGUGAGUGAUGAGGUCUUCGGAUCGUAAAACUCUGUUAUUAGGGAAGAACAUACGUGUAAGUAACUAUGCACGUCUUGACGGUACCUAAUCAGAAAGCCACGGCUAACUACGUGCCAGCAGCCGCGGUAAUACGUAGGGGCAAGCGUUAUCCGGAAUUAUUGGGCGUAAAGCGCGCGUAGGCGGUUUUUUAAGUCUGAUGUGAAAGCCCACGGCUCAACCGUGGAGGGUCAUUGGAAACUGGAAAACUUGAGUGCAGAAGAGGAAGUGGAAUUCCAUGUGUAGCGGUGAAAUGCGCAGAGAUAUGGAGGAACACCAGUGGCGAAGGCGACUUUCUGGUCUGUAACUGACGCUGAUGUGCGAAAGCGUGGGGAUCAAACAGGAUUAGAUACCCGGUAGUCCACGCCGUAAACGAUGAGUGCUAAGUGUUAGGGGGUUUCCGCCCCUUAGUGCUGCAGCUAACGCAUUAAGCACUCCGCCUGGGGAGUACGACCGCAAGGUUGAAACUCAAAGGAAUUGACGGGACCCGCACAAGCGGUGGAGCAUGUGGUUUAAUUCGAAGCAACGCGAAGAACCUUACCAAAUCUUGACAUCCUUUGACAACUCUAGAGAUAGAGCCUUCCCCUUCGGGGGACAAAGUGACAGGUGUGCAUGGUUGUCGUCAGCUCGUGUCGUGAGAUGUUGGGUUAAGUCCCGCAACGAGCGCAACCCUUAAGCUUAGUUGCCAUCAUUAAGUUGGGCACUCUAAGUUGACUGCCGGUGACAAACCGGAGGAGGUGGGGAUGACGUCAAAUCAUCAUGCCCCUUAUGAUUUGGGCUACACACGUGCUACAAUGGACAAUACAAAGGGCAGCGAAACCGCGAGGUCAAGCAAAUCCCAUAAAGUUGUUCUCAGUUCGGAUGUAGUCUGCAACUCGACUACAUGAAGCUGGAAUCGCUAGUAAUCGUAGAUCAGCAUGCUACGGUGAAUACGUUCCCGGGUCUUGUACACACCGCCCGUCACACCACGAGAGUUUGUAACACCCGAAGCGGUGGAGUAACCAUUUGGAGCUAGCCGUCGAAGGUGGGACAAAUGAUUGGGGUGAAGUCGU